rnacentral:lncRNA from 1 species
UCCUCUUGUGAGCGCCUUUGUUCCUCCCCGACGGCGAUGGCGGCUGGAGAUUGAAAGUCUCGCCGUCAUCUGAUGAAUCCUCUGAUUCCUCAUGGCACCGUUUCUCGUUAAUGUAUCGGAUAGUUCUUUCUUUGCCUCCCUUGUUACUUGGUUUCUUCUUGUGUUGGGGGUUUCCGAUCGCUUUUUUAUGUCUGUAGAUCGUUUUUGGGUUUCGUUUGGGGGUUUGGGCUUUCGGUACGAAUGAUCGAAGGCAGGAUGGUGUGUAUCGGCGUGAUGCUAUUCUACCAUGCAUUUCUUGCCGAAAGUGAUUCCUGCUAGACCAAUAUUGGGGAAAAUGGGCAGUUGGGAUACCCUAAUCUUGCAACCGGUAUCUCGACAAUCAUUUUCCUUACAACCGUACUAAAAGCAGUACCGUUAUCGUUUUUUUUUUUUUUUCUCGUUCUAUUAGGAUCUCUUGUUGUUCCUGAUCUUGAAGGAGGGUUUUUGAUGGUAGUUGACGACAAGGUGGAAUUAGGCUCAACUUUUUCGGGUUAUGGUCAUGUUACUUUCGGCAUUUCGUGAUGAAUUAAAAGGAAGUGAAAAUGAGGUUUUUCACAUUCGUUUAUCUGUAGAAAAAGGAAAAUAAGCUGUGGAAUUCUUUGAAAGGAAAAUUAAUCUUACAUUGGUGAAGGCAAAAAUGUAGGUAGUGUUAAAAGUGAAGAUCUUAUGUUUAGGUCUUUUAUGGGCUUAUGCGACGUUAUUUCUUAAUCACCAAUGAUAUGUUUAUUUGUUUUUCAUAUUAGAACUUUUCUCCACCAGGUUAAAUUUUGACGAAAUUUGUUGGCUUGGACUUUGACGAAAUUUGUUGCCUUAAUCAUUCAUCUAAUGCCAAUUGUUUAAUUCUGAUGGACUUGUACUGGAGCAACAUUUGAGUAGAUAAGCUUACAUUUUUGGACAUUUUCAUUUUUCAGCGGCAUUGAAAUACGUCUCCCUUAUUACUUCGACAUGAUGAUGGAUGGAUAAAAUUUGUCUGGCAACAAAUUAUUUUAAAUUGGCAUUUUGUAUGGUAUGUUUGAAGAAUUGAACGAUCAAUCUAGAGGGCUGUUUCAUAGUUGAUUACAUUGGCUCUAAGAAUGGUUAUUUAAUAGUUGAUCAUUCACAUCUUCACCUAUACUGCCCUUCUCCCUCUCUUCACUGUGGCAUGCUUAGUUGUGUUGAAGCAUAAAAAUUAUGGACUUUCCACAUUUCUUAAACUAAAUGUAAAUAACUGAUCUAUACUUUAGGAGCUUCAUGCUUUGCACUUCCUGUUGCACUACUUCCUCCUAGCCGUACACUCAUUUAUUUCCUUUGAUCUCCCUUUAUAUUUGUAUCAAGUUAUAAUUUUCUUCUUUUAUUAAGUAUAUAUAUCCGUCUGCAUUACGUGGAAAGAGGAUAAGUAGUUUGACAAUUGGUCAAUUUGACUUUUUUCACAAUAGUGUGACAGGAUUAUGUGCAAUAUUUCAAUUGUUGCAUAAACCUGUUCCAUUGUGAGGCAAUGGAAUGUAUAAAUCAAUAAUUUCAUAAAAGGUCUAUAGCCUAUUUAACAAGUAUAAUUCUUAUAUUCUAAUUCAUUUCCAAAUUCAAAUCCAUUGUGGUGUGACUGGGGCAUCAAUUAACCUUCUUCCCUAAGUAGUUUGGUAGUGGGGUCUUUAUGUUUUGUUGACCAAGAAAUGUGGUAUUUAUGAUUUCUUGUCCAGGAAAUGGUGUGUUUAUGUUUUGUUAACCAAUUUUAUUUUCUUAGAAAACUCUUUUGAUGAACUUUUUAUUCUCUUUCUAACUAAAAAAAUAUGGUGUUUUGCAUAUAUAUCCUUGCAAAGUUAGGAAACAACAUAUUUGUUAUUACAAAUUUUAGCAUAAGAUGUAUCUCUAAAUAUGAAAUUUAUUGCAUAUGUUGUUUGUCUUCAAUGCCUUCAAGUUAACUGUGAUUAACGUAGGUUUGUUGUUUAAAGACUACAUAAAAUGUAAAGUACCAAAAUGUUUUUUCAUAGCUAGCUAGCAUAAGGUCUAGCAUUGAUCUAUGUAUUUGGUCAUGAUGAGGUGCUUGAUUUUUCUGGCCAGGUUUAUAUAAGUUUUCAUAGAAAGGUUAAUUUUUUUCUUAAAGUCGGCCCCACUUGUGGAUGAUUACAAAACAUUUUUUUUCCUCCACUAAAAAUAUUAUGUGGUGUGUUGCUUGCUAAGUAUCACUUUCUAUAUUAAAGUGAUUUUUUAUGUAGAGUCAGUGUUAGUAAUGGUGUAAUGGGCCAAGCCAUGUUUGUUUUGGGCCUCGUCCAUAUGAAAUUUAUUUAUGUGAGCUCUGUUCCAACUGAAAACAUUCUGCUACUCAUCUAGUCAUUAUAAACCACACAAAAUUAAUAAAUAUCUCAAAAUCGAUGCUUUUGGAAAGCAGUUCAAAAGUUUAAGAUCCUCAAUGAAUAAUUUUAAAUCUAAUAUUCAGUUACUGGACAUUUUAAAUUCAUUUGCAAUAUAUUUGGGCAAUUUUUGGUAUCAUGGCAAAUUUAUUGGGUAUUUUGUUUGGCUAAGUGGCAAUUAUUAACUAAAUGAUCAAACCAGGCUCACCCAUUGGGAUGAUAAUUAAUUGUGUUUUUCUUUUUGGUACUUGUCUUUCCAAUUCACUUAAGUUAAAGCGCCUCAUCUAGUCACACACUGAAAGUAGAUUAAGAUUGAGUUGUAAGAGUUAGUAGGUAUACUAUUAUUAGUUUUUGUUUAAGCAUAUUGGUAGUCAUUUAGGUUGAAGUUAUUAGAUUAAUUAUCCCUUCCAGUUGUGUUUAAUAAGCUAAUUAUCGCGUAAGAUCGUGUUAUGCCAAUUGUUAUCAGAGUUGGGGCAUGGUGAGCCACCUGAGUAAGAAAGAGAGAACAGCUUGUGGAAGGGUAGCUGGCAUUGGAGGACUUGUGUCACGUGGAGCCAUCAUUGGGUUAUCUCACAUGCAUCAGUUUAGUUUUGAGUUAUGUUGGGCCUUGAUGAGGACGUCGAACCCUUAAGUAGGAGAGAUUACAGCACUUCUAUUAGUCUCACAUUAGAAGUGUGCUAAUACUAAGAUUGACUUGUAAGGAUGAUAGAUUUAGUAUUAUUAACUUUCGUUUAAUAGCUGGAGGUUUAGGUUCAAUGAAAUAUAGUUCAAUGAUUCCGUCUCCAAGUUAUCCAUCAUUAUCCUGACAUAAGUCAGAUUAGAGUCCCUAGUUGUGUUAGGAGCAAUUACUUGGUGUCAAAAAGAUAUCCAACUUGAGCUUUUAAUAGGUUUUGGUGUAUGCAUAGUUUUUUUUCUUUAAGGUGUCUGGAUUGUUCGGUUCACAAAUUGAUAGAGUUGAAAUUCGUUGGUGCCCUACCCAUUGUCAUUCUUAUAUGGCAGGGGUUCCCAUGGCAAAAUGUUAAUUAGGUUUGGAAUGGUUAUAUGUAUGUAAACAGGUGCCCAAGAUGAGUUUGAGACAGUUUUGCACUGUUGAGUAGUUAAUCCUUUUUGUUGUCAUUCCUUGGUGGCAGUGAGUUCAUUUUUUUGAGUACCCACACUUGCCUGACUAAUUUAAGUCAGACCAGGUUCUCUCUUAAUUGGGUGGGGAUGGUUUAUGUAUUGAAAUGAAAUCUUGAGUCAGGCAGGUCUGCGGUAGGUUCAAGGAUUUGGAGAGUUGGAUUUCAUAAUGGGUUGGGUGAAUCAAAAGCUCUGGAACCAUGCUUGUACAGGCUACAAAUGUAAGCUGAAGCUCUUACGUUUCCUUUAUGUGGUUCUCCUGAAAGAUUGCCCCUUUUUUUUUUGUCAUGUUGAAAAUAAUUUUGUCACAUUCGAGUUUUCCAUCAUUGAUGGACUUGUGCUGGAUGGAAAAAAUGCUGAGUCUAUUUUCCAUUAAAGGGAAUGAUUCCUUUGGACUUGUUGCCGAUCGUACUGUUCUUUUCUUUUUUUCUCUGGGUUUUGGCUGGUCAAUCCAAUUGGUUCCCCUGCUGUGUUUGGAGAUUAAAUGUCAUAAUUGGUGAUUUGGGGGAGAGUAAUGUCAACCUCGAGUGGAUCUUGUUAAGUAGAUCCUGUAUGUGAUUCUCGCCAUGUACAUUGUUUUUGAUAGAAAUGUUUCGAGUUGGUUAAGGUGAUUUAUAGCUUUUGUUGUGGAAUUCCAUGAUGAACAAGAUAAUUUGUAGACUGUUCUCUUGCGAUGUAUCCAUGAUUUAGAUCCUUGUUUGGCUUUUGUCGCAAUGCUUUAUCCACUUUUGAGUGAUGUCUAAGUUUUUUGUGGUCUCGGUGAUGCAAGUAACGGAGAUUGUCUAUUUGUAUAGAUGAGGCUGUAAAUGUGGAUCUUCCUCGAACCUGCAUUUGCUGGAGCCUUUGUACACUGGGCUGUGUUUUGUUCAAAUUUAAGCCUCCCUCUGUGCGUCCAUUUUGGUAUCCCAAAAAGGAUAUGUAAUGGGACAAGUCAACUACCAGCUGUAGCCCAUAAAGCCUGUGAAACACAAGGCUUCCCAUGUUUGGGCCAUUAUGAUCUGAGGAUAGGAUGAUCCGAUGGCCAAUCAACUGCCAACGACUGAUUCGCCAGUGCCUUGGAUGCUUGUAUUCGAUUCAUUUAUAAGCUAUAGUUUUGGGAAGUAUCCUUUAGAUGUCACACUUUGCCCCUUUAAUGUGGACAUGUGGUCAUGAUUGUUCAAUAUUUAUCCAAUAAAUAUUGCAUGCGAGAAGUUCUUAUGCAAAGUUUAGUGGAUUCUGAUAGCUUUACUGAAAUGUUGAAAAAUGCUUGAAUCUCUGUAGGUAUGGUCCCUGACAAGCUGCUACAGAUGAGAGCGAGAGAGUACAUGGCUUUAUGUGCAUGAGAGGGAUUAAUGCGGCAAUGUCAGAUGCAGACUGUGGUGCUUUCAACCCUAGCAGGCAGGAGCUGUAGAUAUGGUGGGUGCUGGUGCACUACUGCAUAUGCCGCACAGCUUCAAGUAGUAGCUUGUCUGCUCUGUUGCUGGUGGAAUCUGAAGCAGGACACUCACCAGGUACUGCCGCAACCACCGCCCCUCCCUUCAGUGGAUGUAUAGAUGUUUCAAAAUAGGUUGGCAACAACACGCAAAGAUCUCAGGAGGAUUAUGACGAAAAAGUAGAGAGAAAAAGAUUGUUCCUUUUAGUUUAAUAAAUGACUAAUUACGAGGGUGUUUAAGAGAAAUAUAUAUACAUAUAUAUAUAUGUAUAUAUUAUUCUGAAAUAGGGAUCAGGGGUAAUGGUGUGUUGAUGUAAACACCCUAAAGUACAAAAAUAUUAGAUUGAAGUAAAAGAAGUACAAUUGAUAGUGAUAUAGUAUAUUUUGACUCAAGACACGUCAAGUGAGAAUCUGUACCAAGG